rnacentral:tRNA from 1 species
GGGUGUAGUUCAAUUGGUAGAGCAACGGUCUCCAAAACCGUGUGUUGGGGGUUCGAGUCCCUCCGCCC